rnacentral:rRNA from 1 species
GCUGGCGGCAUGCUUAAACAUGCAAGUCGAACGGCAGCAGCAGGAGCUUGCUUCUGGCUGGCGAGUGGCGGACGGGUGAGUAAUGCGUGGGAAUUUGCCCAGUAGUGGGGGACAACCCGGGGAAACUCGGGCUAAUACCGCAUAAUCCCUACGGGGGAAAGGGGGGGAUCUUCGGACCUCUCGCUAUUGGAUGAGCCCACGUCCGAUUAGCUUGUUGGCAGGGUAAAGGCCUACCAAGGCGACGAUCGGUAGCUGGUCUGAGAGGACGACCAGCCACACUGGGACUGAGACACGGCCCAGACUCCUACGGGAGGCAGCAGUGGGGAAUAUUGGACAAUGGGCGAAAGCCUGAUCCAGCAAUGCCGCGUGUGUGAAGAAGGCCUGCGGGUUGUAAAGCACUUUCAGUAGGGAAGAAAAGGUCGGGGCUAAUACCCCCGGGUCUUGACGUUACCUACAGAAGAAGCACCGGCUAACUCCGUGCCAGCAGCCGCGGUAAUACGGAGGGUGCGAGCGUUAAUCGGAAUUACUGGGCGUAAAGCGCGCGUAGGCGGCUAAGUAAGUCGGAUGUGAAAGCCCCGGGCUUAACCUGGGAACUG